AAAAAUAAAAAAGGAAAAGUAGGGUUCAGUAAUCUGUGAUCUUAACCCCAAUAUUCUUCUUGGGAUUGAUGGUAAAAAAGAAAGAAAAAAAACCCUCAAAUCUCCUUAUAUAAACCGCUCCCUCCCCAUCCCCUAAACCUACAUCUCUGAUCUCCCUCUGAUCAUCUGCCUGAGUGCCUCUGCACUUCCUGCUUCCUUUCUCUCCCUUUUUCUUAGAUUUUGAUCCAUCUUUGCUCAUUGGGUUGUUUUUAAUUGGUUGAAGCUUUCAAGCAUCUUAUGAUCUACUCAUGUGGUGUCUAUAGAUGACCCUUUUUGUAUUCUUCCACAGCUUUCUUGAACUGCAUAUAUGAGUGAUCUCUUUGCAUGCAGAGAUAAUGUUUUUCUUCUUGUUUGCGGUUCAAUAAAGCUGUGGGAAGAUACAGACAGUGUCAAGAAAGUUCAAGAUCAUCUGCUUUCGGUAUUAUUACUUAUAAUCCCUCAUUCCUCUUUGUUUUUAUGAUCCCGAUCUGAUGAUUUCUUUGGUUACACAACGGUGUCGAUGGCAUUUCUCUGAACGCGAAGGUUCUUUUCUGAUCUUAAUUCUUUCAGUACAUGAGAUGUGUGGCUGAUGCUUUCUUUUUUUUUUUUUCCUUUUUUUUUUACUUCCUUGCCAAACAGUACUCAGACAGUCGGAAAUAUUAUGAAGUAUAUACAUCUCUGAACCCUUAAGCUUCAAAUGGGAUUGUACGUACGAAGAAACUAAAUUCAUUUCACUUCCCACAGAAAAAAUAAAUAAAGUGAAAUUCAGUUCGAAUUAUACAUAAAUGUGGUAUCUCCACUUCCUGAUACAACAUAGUUUAUUCCCCUCCCCUUCCCUCCCCUCCCCACUUAAUUCCAAUUUCAGUAUGUAUGUGUAGAGAUAUAAUUCUGCAUAUCAGUUAUAAAAUAUCACUUUUUUCAUUUGAAUCGUUGGAGCUUUAUUUUAUCAUGGUAUUGAAUCGUUGUAUAAUACAUCUCUACAGUAGCCUAUAAUAAUUAAAUCUCUCUCUCUCUCUCUCUCUCUCUGUGUGUGACAGUCUGGAAAUAUCAUCGACAAGUAGCUUUUUCUAAUGGUAUUUUAUAACACAGAUAUAACGAUGGCUUUGUUCCCCUCCGAUCAGAUACAUACAACGAUUCACAGGACUGUACCUUUCCCUCUUGUCUGGCUAGAUUCUUCUCUUUCUUUUAUUCUUGUGUUCUUUUCUUCUUCCAUUGUUAAUUACUCCAUAUGUGGCCAAUUUUGGGUUUCUUUAUUUACAUAUAUAUAAUUGUUUGGGCUCCCUCGAUUGCUUUAUUACGUGUUACUGUUCCGAUGUGUAGCUAGGUUAAAUUGCAGGAUCAUAAACAAAAAUAUAUACCACUUGUAGAUCAAACAGCAGCUUCCAUCACUUGGCCGGAUCUGUAAAUAUUCAGCGUCAUUCAACAAGAUGCUUUAACAUUGGAUCUUUAAGAUGGGGGCCACCACGUUCCAUUUCCGAUCGCUGACAAAUGAAGCUUGUAAGAGCAAUGUGUGUGCGUGCGUGCGUGCCUUGAGGGACGUUGCCCAAGUCUUGGUCAAUUCAAUCCUCUUUAUUUCUUUAUGAUCUUCCCGCUUCCCUUGAAACUAGAGUUGACAGACAGCGCGCUUCUAUAUCUGCGGCAGUGAACUUGGAGUUCUUCAAGGAAUUCUCCUGAAUAACUUAUAUCACACACACACACACACGCCUUCAUUUACUCUUUUCUUGCCACUUGAUCACCAACAAAGAAAAUAUGGGAUUUGACCAUUUAUUUGGCUCAAAUCUUCCUAUAUAUUUAUUGUGUUGAUGUAGUAUCUGUAAUAAGGUUUUUGCUGGCCGGGCCGUAGUACUCAUGACCCUGGCCUCUAACAAUCUUAUCAAUCCGGCCAGUAUUAGUAGGAUUUAUCUGGCCUUUUUUUGCGUCUUCUAUGAUUUGGGAGAAGAAAAUCUGAACUUUGAUACCA